rnacentral:rRNA from 1 species
GAUGAACGCUGGCGGCGUGCCUAAUACAUGCAAGUCGAGCGAACGGACGAGAAGUUUGCUUCUCUGAUGUUAGCGGCGGACGGGUGAGUAACACGUGGAUAACCUACCUAUAAGACUGGGAUAACUUCGGGAAACCGGAGCUAAUACCGGAUAAUAUUUUGAACCGCAUGGUUCAAAAGUGAAAGACGUUCUUGCUGUCACUUAUAGAUGGAUCCGCGCUGCAUUAGCUAGUUGGUAAGGUAACGGCUUACCAAGGCAACGAUGCAUAGCCGACCUGAGAGGGUGAUCGGCCACACGGGAACUGAGACACGGUCCAGACUCCUACGGGAGGCAGCAGUAGGGAAUCUUCCGCAAUGGGCGAAAGCCUGACGGAGCAACGCCGCGUGAGUAAUGAAGGUCUUCGGAUCGUAAGACUCUGUUAUUAGGGAAGAACAUAUGUGUAAGUAACUGUGCACAUCUUGACGGUACCUAAUCAGAAAGCCACGGCUAACUACGUG